rnacentral:rRNA from 1 species
GACUGGGAUAACCCUGGGAAACUGGGGAUAAUACCGGAUAGGCAAUUUUUCCUGGAAUGGUUUUUUGUUUAAAUGUUUUUUCGCCUAAGGAUGGGUCUGCGGCCGAUUAGGUAGUUGGUUAGGUAACGGCUUACCAAGCCAUUGAUCGGUACGGGUUGUGAGAGCAAGAGCCCGGAGAUGGAACCUGAGACAAGGUUCCAGGCCCUACGGGGUGCAGCAGGCGCGAAACCUCUGCAAUGUGAGAAAUCGCGACGGGGGGAUCCCAAGUGCCAUUCUUAACGGGAUGGCUUUUCAUUAGUGUAAAGAGCUUUUGGAAUAAGGGCUGGGCAAGACCGGUGCCAGCCGCCGCGGUAACACCGGCAGCUCUAGUGGUAGCAGUUUUUAUUGGGCCUAAAGCGUCCGUAGCCGGUUUAAUAAGUCUCUGGUGAAAUCCUGUAGCUUAACUGUGGGAAUUGCUGGAGAUACUAUUAGACUUGAGACCGGGAGAGGUUAGAGGUACUCCCAGGGUAGAGGUGAAAUUCUGUAAUCCUGGGAGGACCGCCUGUUGCGAAGGCGUCUAACUGGAACGGUUCUGACGGUGAGGGACGAAAGUUAGGGGCGCGAACCGGAUUAGAUACCCGGGUAGUCCUAACUGUAAACGAUGCGGACUUGGUGUUGGGGUGGCUUUGAGCUGCUCCAGUGCCGAAGGGAAGCUGUUAAGUCCGCCGCCUGGGAAGUACGGUCGCAAGACUGAAACUUAA